rnacentral:rRNA from 1 species
CCUACGGGAGGCAGCAGUGGGGAAUUAUGCACAAUGGGGGAAACCCUGAUGCAGCGAUGCCGCGUGAGUGAAGAAGGAUUUCGGUAUGUAACGCUCUAUCAAAGGGGAAGAAGAUCAGGGUGACUGAUUAAGCAGCCCCUGCUAAAUACGUGCGAGCAGUCGCGGGCAAACGGAGGGGGCAAGCGUUAGCCGGAUUUAAUGGGUGGAAAGGGAGCGUAGACGGGAGCGCGAGGCUGAAGGGAAAUGCCGGCGCGUAACCCCGUAACUGCGUUGGAAACUGGGCGGCUAGAGGGCAGGAGAGGGAAGUGGAAGUCCAAGGGUAGCGGUGAAAUGCGUAGAUAUUAGGAGGAACACCAGUGGCGAAGGCGGCUGACUGGACUGUAACGGACGUUGAGGCUCGAAAGCGUGGGGAGCAAACAGGAUUAGAUACCCCUGUAGUC